GACGACGCUGGCGGCGUGCCUAACACAUGCAAGUCGAACGGAGGUAACUUUUGAAGCUUGCGAUAAAGUAUCUUAGUGGCGGACGGGUGAGUAACGCGUGGGUAAUCUGCCCAUAAGUGGGGAACAACAGUUGGAAACGACUGCUAAUACCGCAUAAUCUGCCUUAGGGUAGGAAAGGUGGCCUCUUAACAAUGCUGCCGCUUAUGGAUGAGCCCGCGUCUGAUUAGCUAGUUGGUGGGGUAAAGGCCUACCAAGGCGACGAUCAGUAGCCGGCCUGAGAGGGUGAACGGCCACACUGGGACUGAGACACGGCCCAGACUCCUACGGGGGGCAGCAGUGGGGGAUCUUGCACAAUGGGCGAAAGCCUGAUGCAGCGACGCCGCGUGAGGGAUGAAGGCCUUCGGGUUGUAAACCUCUUUCAGUAGGGAAGAAGCGCAAGUGACGGUACCUACAGAAGAAGCACCGGCUAACUACGUG
rnacentral:rRNA from 1 species